AUACGUAGGGUGCGAGCGCUAAUCGGAAUUACUGGGCGUAAAGCGUGCGCAGGCGGUUUUGUAAGACAGUGGUGAAAUCCCCGGGCUCAACCUGGGAACUGCCAUUGUGACUGCAAGGCUGGAGUGCGGCAGAGGGGGAUGGAAUUCCGCGUGUAGCAGUGAAAUGCGUUGAUAUGCGGAGGAACACCAAUGGCGAAGGCAAUCCCCUGGGCCUGCACUGACGCUCAUGCACGAAAGCGUGGGGAGCAAACAGGAUUAGAUACCCUGGUAGUCCACGCCCUAAACGAUGUCAACUGGUUGUUGGGAAUUUAUGUUCUCAGUAACGAAGCUAACGCGUGAAGUUGACCGCCUGGGGAGUACGGCCGCAAGGUUAAAACUCAAAGGAAUUGACGGGG
rnacentral:rRNA from 1 species